rnacentral:rRNA from 1 species
UACAGAGGUCCCAAGCGUUGUUCGGAUUCACUGGGCGUAAAGGGUGCGUAGGCGGCGCGGUAAGUCGGGUGUGAAAUCUCGGGGCUUAACUCCGAAACUGCAUUCGAUACUGCCGUGCUUGAGGACUGGAGAGGAGACUGGAAUUUACGGUGUAGCGGUGAAAUGCGUAGAUAUCGUAAGGAAGACCAGUGGCGAAGGCGGGUCUCUGGACAGUUCCUGACGCUGAGACG